CAGAGAUGCUUGGUGCCUUCGGGAACUCUGAGACAGGUGCUGCAUGGCUGUCGUCAGCUCGUGUUGUGAAAUGUUGGGUUAAGUCCCGCAACGAGCGCAACCCUUAUCCUUUGUUGCCAGCGGCUCGGCCGGGAACUCAAAGGAGACUGCCGGUGAUAAACCGGAGGAAGGUGGGGAUGACGUCAAGUCAUCAUGGCCCUUACGGCCAGGGCUACACACGUGCUACAAUGGCGCAUACAAAGAGAAGCGACCUCGCGAGAGCAAGCGGACCUCACAAAGUGCGUCGUAGUCCGGAUUGGAGUCUGCAACUCGACUCCAUGAAGUCGGAAUCGCUAGUAAUCGUAGAUCAGAAUGCUACGGUGAAUACGUUCCCGGGCCUUGUACACACCGCCCGUCACACCAUGGGAGUGGGUUGCAAAAGAAGUAGGUAGCUUAACCUUCGGGAGGGCGCUUACCACUUUGUGAUUCAUGACUGGGGUGAAGUCGUAACAAGGUAGGCGUAGCGAG
rnacentral:rRNA from 1 species